rnacentral:lncRNA from 1 species
GGUCCAUCAGCCAAUCAGGAAGUGGAACAGGCAACCAGGAAGUAACUAAACCAGAAGAAACUUUUUUCUGUUCGGCAUUUAUUUAGAAAACAAGAAUUAAGGUGAAAUGAAACCACCAAACCAGCUUCUUCUUUCAAAGGAAACUUCCAGAACGUUUUCAUGACGCAGACGUUAUAAUCUGUUAUAAUUCUGGGGGCCCCCUCUUCAGGGCCCUGGCUGGACGGGUGUUUUGGGUCCCCGGGGCCGUUCCUGUGUUUCAGCUCUGUUUGUGCGGUUCCAGAGUCACGACUGGCUGUUUUAUGGCAGCAGGUGUGUGAAAGCCUCCUUCCAUGUUCAAAGCUCAAAGUCCAGCCUGCAGGCGCAGAUGAUCGCACACGCCGCUCCAGGAUCUCCCAGACCGCCCGCCGUCUGAGGCCUGAGGUCGCAGGGGAACUCUUUGGGAAAGUCCGGGGCCCCCACAUAUGGACGGCACCUGACGCAGCCGCAGUGAACCGGGGAACGCCGCUGUCCGAGCCGCCGGACGCCUCCUUGAGCUCAGCUCAGGCCCCCCCCCUGCGGCUGCGCCCCCUGCUGGGCGCCAUGGAGCCAGGAGCCAGCCGCCUGCCGCCCCACGUCCUGGGGGAGAAGGAGGCUCUGCAGCAGUUCUUUAGCGUUCUGGACAGUUCUGUUGCCGUGGAUACCAGCGUCCUGGAACAGUAUCUUAGCAACGAUGUUGACCCCAGCACUUUGUAAGACACACACAACACCCAACACAACUUGAAAGUAGCUUCAGGUUCUGCAUGAAAACAUGUUUCAACAAUCAUUGUCCUGUUUGUAAAAAUGAUCUGACAGGUAAGGUAGUAACUCUAAAUGUGCUUAUUUAUGAUUUAAAACUUGUUUUCAUUUUCUAAAACAAACUCAAUGAAUCUUUAUUUAAAGUAUUUCUUAUGUAGAAAAAUGAUGACAUGACCCAGAGUGAAUUGUAGGUCUAUGUUUUUCUGAUGUGCUUGAUGCUUUUGGUGUUUAAAAGACGUUUUAAAGCAAAAAGAGAAAGCUCAACACAGAAAUGAGCUCAUUUUUACUGUCAUCAUUCCUGCUUGAUUGUGUUCUUUUCUUUGGUUUGGUAGCAUGCUCCCUGAGUCUCCUCCAGAUUCAAGUUCUGAGUCCUGCUCGCCUCCACAGUUACCAGGUACCACCGACACCGAUCCAACUCCUGCUGAUGUCAUCUUACUUCCCUUAGUGAAACGUC